AUCAGAGAUUCAUGAGAACUAGAUAACCUACAAGACAAUCCCUAAUGGCAAAGAAGGGUAGAUCAAACUCCUGAAGCUUGAAAACACAAAUGUAGCAACAGAUACUGAACUAAACUGUACAACAGAAAGUUCAAUUAGAUGGAGAAUCCCUUGAGUGGAGCAAAUUUGGUCAAUAUCUCGACUUCCUUCUCUGCCGAUUUUUGUUUCUUGAGUUUCCAUUCUGAGCUUUCGGAGUUAGCCACCUGAAUUUCAUCUACCAUCUUUGGAAGAUGGCCCAUCACCAUCCUUUGUUUUGA
rnacentral:misc_RNA from 1 species